rnacentral:rRNA from 1 species
UCCGGUUGAUCCUGGCAGAGGUCACUGCUAUCGGUGUUCGAUUAAGCCAUGCGAGUCGUGAGGGGUAAAGCCCUCGGCGGAGUGCUCAGUAACACGUGGACAACCUACCCAAGAGUCAGGGAUAACCCGGGGAAACUGGGGAUAAUACCCGAUAGGCCAUGACAUCUGGAAUCGAGUUGUGGUUUAAACGUAAGGCUCUUGGAUGGGUCUGCGGCGGAUUAGGUUGUUGCCGGUGUAACGUACCAGCAAGCCUGUAAUCCGUACGGGUUGUGGGAGCAAGAGCCCGGAGAUGGAUUCUGAGACACGAAUCCAGGCCCUACGGGGCGCAGCAGGCGCGAAAACUCUACAAUGCAGGCAACUGCGAUAGGGGAACAUUGAGUGGCAUCCACCAUGGAUGUCUGUCCAAUCGUCUAAAAAACGAUUGUCAGCAAGGGCCGGGCAAGACCGGUGCCAGCCGCCGCGGUAAUACCGGCGGCUCGAGUGGUGGCCGAUAUUAUUGAGUCUAAAGGGUCCGUAGCCGGCUUUGCAAGUCCUAUGGGAAAUCCAGCGGCUUAACCGUUGGGCUUUCAUGGGAUACUACAUUGCUUGGGACUGGGAGAGGUAGGAGGUACUCAGGGGGUAGGGGUGAAAUCCUGUAAUCCUUUGGGGACCACCGGUGGCGAAGGCGUCCUACCAGAACAGGUCCGACGGUGAGGGACGAAAGCUAGGGGCACGAACCGGAUUAGAUACCCGGGUAGUCCUAGCCGUAAACGAUGCUCGCUAGGUGUCACGGCAGUCGUGAAUUGUCGUGGUGCCGUAGGGAAGCCGUGAAGCGAGCCACUUGGGAAGUACGACCGCAAGGUUGAAACUUAAAGGAAUUGGCGGGGGAGCACCACAACGGGUGGAGCCUGCGGUUUAAUUGGAUUCAACGCCGGAAAGCUUACCGGGAUCGACAGUUGUACGAAGGCCAGGCUGAAGACCUUGCCGGACUAGCUGAGAGGAGGUGCAUGGCCGUCGUCAGUUCGUACCCGUGAGGCGUCCUGUUAAGUCAGGCAACGAGCGAGACCCA